rnacentral:rRNA from 1 species
CACGUAGGGGGCAAGCGUUGUCCGGAUUUAUUGGGCGUAAAGAGCUCGUAGGCGGUUCGGUAAGUCGGGUGUGAAACCUCCAGGCUCAACCUGGAGAUGCCACCUGAUACUGCUGUGACUCGAGUCCGGUAGGGGAGCGUGGAAUUCCUGGUGUAGCGGUGAAAUGCGCAGAUAUCAGGAGGAACACCAGCGGCGAAGGCGCUGCUCUGGGCCGGUACUGACGCUGAGGAGCGAAAGCGUGGGGAGCGAACAGG